AUUCGAUAGGCGCAACGGCUGCGCGCGAGGGUAAAGCCCUUGAGGAGCAGGUUCAACUCCUGCAUCGAUGA